CCUACGGGUGGCUGCAGUGGGGAAUAUUGGACAAUGGGCGAAAGCCUGAUCCAGCCAUGCCGCGUGUGUGAAGAAGGCCUUCGGGUUGUAAAGCACUUUCAGUGGGGAAGAAAGCCUUGGGGCUAAUACCCUCGAGGAAGGACAUCACCCACAGAAGAAGCACCGGCUAACUCCGUGCCAGCAGCCGCGGUAAUACGGAGGGUGCGAGCGUUAAUCGGAAUUACUGGGCGUAAAGCGCGCGUAGGCGGUCUGAUAAGCCGGUUGUGAAAGCCCCGGGCUCAACCUGGGAACGGCAUCCGGAACUGUCAGGCUAGAGUGCAGGAGAGGAAGGUAGAAUUCCCGGUGUAGCAGUGAAAUGCGUAGAGAUCGGGAGGAAUACCAGUGGCGAAGGCGGCCUUCUGGACUGACACUGACGCUGAGGUGCGAAAGCGUGGGUAGCGAACAGGAUUAGAUACCCCUGUAGUC
rnacentral:rRNA from 1 species